UACGAAGGGGGCUAGCGUUGCUCGGAAUCACUGGGCGUAAAGCGCACGUAGGCGGCUUGUUAAGUCGGGGGUGAAAUCCUGGAGCUCAACUCUAGAACUGCCUUCGAUACUGGCAAGCUUCGAGUCCGGGGGAGGUGAGUGGAACUGCGAGUGUAGAGGUGAAAUUCGUAGAUAUUCGCAAGAACACCAGUGGCGAAGGCGGCUCACUGGCCCGGUACUGACGCUGAGGUGCGAAAGCGUGGGGAGCAAACAGG
rnacentral:rRNA from 1 species